rnacentral:rRNA from 1 species
UGGGGAAUUUUGGACAAUGGGGGCAACCCUGAUCCAGCAAUGCCGCGUGAGUGAAGAAGGCCUUCGGGCUGUAAAGCUCUUUUGUCAGGGAAGAAACGGUAGUAGCGAAUAACUAUUACUAAUGACGGUACCUGAAGAAUAAGCACCGGCUAACUACGUGCCAGCAGCCGCGGUAAUACGUAGGGUGCAAGCGUUAAUCGGAAUUACUGGGCGUAAAGCGUGCGCAGGCGGUUGUGUAAGUCAGAUGUGAAAUCCCCGGGCUCAACCUGGGAAUUGCAUUUGAGACUGCACGGCUAGAGUGUGUCAGAGGGGGGUAGAAUUCCACGUGUAGCAGUGAAAUGCGUAGAUAUGUGGAGGAAUACCGAUGGCGAAGGCAGCCCCCUGGGAUAACACUGACGCUCAUGCACGAAAGCGUGGGGAGCAAACAGGAUUAGAUACCCUCGUAGUCCCUGAGCGGGCUGGCAAGGCGCAU